rnacentral:rRNA from 1 species
UACGAAGGGGCUAGCGUUGCUCGGAAUCACUGGGCGUAAAGCGCACGUAGGCGGCUUGCCAAGUCGGACGUGAAAUCCCUCAGCUCAACUGAGGACGUGCAUCCGAAACUGGCGAGCUUGAGUGCUGAAGAGGAUCGCGGAAUUCCCGGUGUAGAGGUGAAAUUCGUAGAUAUCGGGAGGAACACCAGUGGCGAAGGCGGCGAUCUGGGCAGACACUGACGCUGAGGUGCGAAAGCGUGGGGAGCAAACAGG